CUCAACUGUUUGACUAAGACAUACCAUAUACAUCUCUCUCUCUAUAUAUAUAUAUAUAUACACACACACACACACACACACACACACACACACACACACACACACACACACACACACACUCGAAACUUGAAUCCAAAUUUAUAGAUCACUCAUGUGACGCCUUCAAAAUAGGUCCAUACAACCCAUUCUGAGUCGCCAAAUACAUGGUACAUAAUCCAAAUACAAACUUCAUUUAUACAACUAUUAAACUGUCGUGCAAAAUACGACAACACAUAAGCUGUGAGUUUUAAUACAAAUAUUGUCUCGUAGACAAUAUUUAAACUCAAAUUAGGUAUUCAUUACAAUUAUUAUCACACUAUUUCACAACAUAGUGAAGACUUCUAUAGUAACUAUCUCGGACCAUUACUUAACUCCCCGACUAGUCCCAGCUACAUUCUUGCCUCCUGAGAAGAACAAUGGAACUAAAAAAAAUGGUGAGCUCAACUAGCCUAGUAAAAAAUAUUAUGACUAAGAUAAUGUUGAAUAAAUUAUUCUUAGUCCUCAACAAGGAAAAAUCUGAUAUAAUACAAUAGACAACAAAUUUUAGAUCAACAACUGCAGCGGAUAUAACAAUCCAUUAGAAGAGUCAAGUAGAACAUAAUGUCUACUAUCUUCUAUGAUUUAAAAGUCCAUUAUCAAUAUUUUAUCCCUCUAACAGCAAUCAAUAAUUAUUUUCAAUUAAUAAACUAUCUAUGUACUACGGGCCAAAGAUAAUCGUUUGUAUCACAAGUGCUCAUGAUCAUGUCAAAAACAUGUCCAUCUAUGCACUACGAGCAAAAGAGGACUUUCAUUAUAAAUCUUUAUCUGUAACGUUAAAGGUUAUGAUUAUACCAAUACACAAUUCCUAGUCAUAAUCAUACCAAUCAAUAGUCCAUCUUUGCACUAUGGGCGAAAGAUGACUUUCAACACAAUAUACGCAUGAGGAUGAUGACAAUGAUAUAAAGAAUAAAUCAAGUGAGAUCAAUAAUAAAUAUUAAAGAUUUAUAAUUCAAUUUAUCAAUAGUUCAAGAAUGUCCAAAUUGUCAACAUGAUAACUUAUUGUGGAGUAAAAAUCAAGAAUGAUAUUCAUGUAUAAAAAAUAAUUUAGACAAAAAAGAAAUCAAUUUUUUCGUGAAUAGUACCUUGAAUGAAUAGUAAUCGAAUGAAAAGUACCCCGAAUGAAUAAUAUUCUAAAUGAAUAGUACCCCGACAUAAAAUAGUAUCCCGCCAUGAAAAUAUUACAAUUAAGAAGAAAGUUUAUAUCAAUAAUGAAAUGAUAAUAGAUGAAGCACAAACUAUUAAGAAUAUUCCAUUAAUUUCAAGGGUUUUCACCAUUUAAUAAUAAGGUUAUGGAAACAAACAAUAAAUUCGUACCAUAAAUGGAGAAAUAUGAAAGAAGACGAUAUCCCUUGAUGAGUACAAAAGAAAUGAUUUCUCACAUGAGUAUGAAAGAAUAUAUGAAACUGCAAAUGAAUUUUCACCCGUCAUACGGUAAUGCGCGUAGACAGAUCAUUUUCACAAUUUAAUUAAGAAUGAAUACGAAAGAUUAUUCACUAGGCAUACGGUAAUCCGCGUAGACAUGUUAUACCCAUAGAUUAAUAAAGGAUGAAUACGAAGGAUUAUUCACCAUGCAUGCGGUAAUCUGCGUAGACAGGUUAUACCACCAGAUUAAUAAAUGAUGAAUAUGAAUGGUUAUUCACUAUGUAUGUGGUAGUCCGCGUAAAUAAGUUAUUCCCACCGAUUAUCAAGGAAUAGAAUGACAACCCUUACGAGCAAGUAUUGAAAGAAAAUAAUAUCUUUUACGAAUAUGAAAUAAAUAAUACCCCUUACCUUAGUAGGAGAUUGGAUAGUGCAAUAGUGUAGUAGCAGAAUACUCUUCUUCCUUAUCUCUUAUUAUCUCUCUAUAGUUUCUCUCUCUAUAGUUUUAGUGAAUUGGUUAGAAAGAAGGAAGGAAUGAGCUUCUAUUUAUAGGAGAAUGGACUAAAUAGUAACUUAUUCACGAACGAUCCAGAUUGAUUUACUAUUAAACGGACGGUCCAUAUUGAUUUACUAUUAAAACUUCAACCGACGAUCCAUAUAAAUAGUAAUUGAUUCACGAACGGUCCAAAUUGAUUUACUAUUAAACGGACGGUUUAUAUUGAUUUACUAUUAAAACUUCAAUCGACGGUCCAUAUUGAUUUACUAUUAUAACUUCAACUAACGGUUCAUAUUGAUUUAUUAUUAUAACUUCAGCCAACAGCAUAUUGAUUUACUAUUAUAACUCUAAUCGAUGGUCUAAAAAAAUAGCACAUCUCCCCAUAAAAUAAUAAGUCAAACUUACAACAAACGACUCAUGACAAAUCCCUCUAUUUAUAUCAAAAAUUGUAUAAAUAUUUACCAUAAAUCACUUAUCUUUAAUCAACACAUUUUUAAUCUUUCAACAAUUAUUCAUCAUUUAAUAUUAUAACUCACAAUAUUGACUACCAGAUCAUUCUCAGGAAAGAGGGGCUUUCCGAUAAGGAUUUCUUCUUACUGGCGCGCAAUUAAAUAACCAAACAUUUUCAAUAAUGCAAAUAAUAAUAUGAAUAACUGUGUCGUCUCAAUUAUUGAUUUAAUAAUAAAAAAUACUGUACAGGUGAUACUGUGACAAUAAUUGAAUCAAUAAUAUGAGAUACUAUGCAGCAACUACUGUGGCAAUUAUUGAAUGAAACUAAGUGACUUCUUACGUAAGCAUCAAUAAUCAGAGAUAUUGUGCAAUACCGCGUGCUAUUGUGCAACAACGCGUAUUACUGUACUUUUAUCAACGAGUAUUUCAACAGUUUAACGGAAAAAGUCUUGUUGUUGUUUUAUAAAAAUGUUGUUUCUGUCACUUUCUAUAUCCGACAGUUAUUCCGUUAUGUGGUUCACCAUGGAUUGCACCAUCGUACAAAUAUUACCCGACAAAAAGAAUAUUCUCUUACCAAACGAAUAUUUUAUGACCACUUACUUACUUUGAAAAAUUUUCAUAUAUCACCUAUAACUAUAGCAUUAUAUCAAAUCAACACCUUACUAUUCCAAAUAAUAUUUAAGGAAAAUUAAAUCUUUAUUCAUAAAAGUUGAGGUCUUACAACCUCCCCUUCUUAUGAAAUAUGGUCCUCGAAAUUGAUGUACGUACCUGGUAUGUCAAAGAGGUUAGGAUACCUUAUUUUCAUUUCAGAUUCUAACUCCCAUGUCAUUUCUGCAAUAUCAUGGUUUCUCCAUAAAACUUUGACUUGAGGUAUAACUUUUGGGCGUAGAAUAUGUUCCUUCUUAUACAAGAUUUUAACAGGUACAUUCCCAUACGUUAAAUCUUUCUCUAUCUCGUAUGGUUCUAAUUCAAUAAUGUGGUUUGGGUCUUCCACGUUUCUUUAGAAACGUUUGUCUGUUAUAACCCUUUUUAUGCAAAAAAAGGUUCUCUCAUGGUUUUAAUAUAUAAAUACUUUACGUUUGAGAGCAUAAACCAUCUAUAAUCCAUUUUAAGAAUAUUUCUUGUCUCCAUCUGUAAACUUGAGACUAUAUGAUUACGGAUGGUUUUUAUCGUGUAAACAUAGCUCAUAUCAUUAUUCUUUAGUUUUCGAAAAAUUUUAUGUUUUCACAAUAGUCCAUGUGCUAAACAAUGCUAUCACCACGUACGCGAAUGUCUCGCUUUGUUAGUAGCUUCGCUUAACAUUUAUUCUCGUGAAUAAAUUACAUUCGUGCUUAACAUGUAUUUUAUUUUCAUACAUAUGUCAUUAUGUGAUUCUGUGUUCAUAGUCAUCGUUUCGAAUUUCCAAAAUCUUUCGCUUUCAAAUUUCGAUGUUCGAUAUAGUUUAAAUGGGUUAGCGUAUUUUAUUUUAAUACAUAACCCUUUUAUAUUUCAUUUCUCAAUUUAGGUUGAUGACAUAUAUGUAAUUUCAUGUUUACAUAAUACUUUUAUCGUUUUUCUUGCACACGAAUAAGUUAGCGGCAUAUAUAGUCUUUAUACUAUAUUUAUACUACUAUACCAGUGUUUCAUUAUGUGCCAAAUAGCUCUUAAACCAACCAAACACGUCGCGGGAACACGAUAAGCUGAGUAGCCCCAAGGCUGUCAGGCUCUACGUUGGCCGCCCGGGCUGGGCAGCCCAUGACUUGACACUCUACUUUGCUAAUUUUUAUUUCUUAAACCUCUAAUCAACUUGCUGCGAGUUUUGGAUAUGUUUUAGUCGGUAUAUCAAAGUAUUUAUAGAAAUUUUAUAACCAUGAAAACAAGCGAAUAAGAUUGACCAAAAAAAUACGUAAAAAGCAUGUCAGGCGACUGUACUAGCCCAGCACGGCGCGGCAUGCGCGCGCGCCCGCCCACGCGUGGCUGGGCAGUGUCCUACUGCUACUCAGUUGCUUGAAGCAUAUUUUGCGUAUUUUAACUUCUUGGUUGUAGCUCGGAUAUCAACCAAUUUUGGUAUGUUUUUUGUAUCAUACGAGAAUAUUUUUAAAAAAUAUCAAACCCCCAUUCCGAGUUUUUUAGACAGCCCAAACAGAGCGUCAAAAGUGUACGUUCAUAACAGUUUUCAAUUUCUUCUCAGUUGUACCCUCUCUCGCUACAACAGUCAUAAUUUUUUCGUUUCAAAACAUUUUUGAGCGAUUCUUGAGCCCACGCGAAGCUAACUUCCGGGGCUACAACUUUUAUUCUUUGACCAUUUUCAAAUUCUUAACACAAAAUUUCAGAAAAUUCAUGCAAGGGGACUGCUCCGAAUUUGUUAGACAGAUUUAACGCCACUACUUUGAACGGGCAUAACUCGUUGCUCCGUAGUCGGAAUUAGUUCAUUUCGGAGUCUAUGGAAAGCUUAUUCAAUGUACUAUAAUACCCCAAAAGCCCAUAAGUUUCUGGAAAAUGUAGCUAGCCCCGAAUUUGCCCUUAGUGUCAGCAGUCCACAAUUUUUCGGUUUCUAAUAUGGUUUACUAAAAUCUUCACUAUAAAUUUGUCUUAGCUCCUUUUUGAUUCAUUCCAAUUGGAUUAUUUCCAUAACUCGUAGGAGCACAACCCACCAUUACAAAACUUAAAUUUUCAGUUCUAUAAACUCAUAAAUUUUGGCUCAAGAACAGCCCCCAAAAACAGUUUUAAUUAGUUUGUUUUACAUGUUUAGCUAGGAAAUCCGUCAUGAUUUCGUUACAACGGAUUUUUUCCUCGUUCCAAUUCAUAACUCAUAAGAGUACCACACAUCAUCCCGGAACUUUAUUUUUCAGUUUCAGAGCACAACACAAAUUUGUCCAAAACAGUCCCAUAGUUGUCCAAUUUGAGCAUAUUAGUCUCUAAGAAACAAUUUAUCGAACACGACAAGUGCAUUAGCUUAAGGGACAGAAUUCAAACAUGUUUAUACAUGCUUAAACCCAAAAUUUCUCCCUUAUUACUCCACACAACAACAACUAAUCCCCUUCUUUCUAAAUAUCAGCCCAACAUAACAGUUAUUGCAACGUAAAGCCUCAUUCAACUAAAUUUUUAUGAACAAAUUUAUAAACAUAUAACUUACCUUGCAAUAACCUUGAUUUGAAGAAGUUUUAGCUUUAGAAAUUAGUUUAUGAACUCUUCCUGUACUGUUGCUGCUCGAAAUCCCUUCCCAAAACAGUUUGCUACUACACGUUUUUGAGAAUUGGAUGAACUUUUGUGAUUUUUUUUUUGUAGCUAUGGAAGCUUAGAAACUUAGCAAUUGGAGAGAAAUAUGGUCUAGGUAAUGAGAGAGGAAAAAGGAACAGAUGUGGAGAAGCUGUGAAUGAGGUAGAGUAACUUCUUAGCUCCUAUCUCUCUCUCUGUUAUUGACCCCUAUAGGACUCCCCCUACACAGCCCUAUCCAUCAUCUUUGGCCCCUAUCAAUUGGCCUCUAGGCAGCCCCUACGUGACCUAUCAUGUAAGCUCCUAGCUGCCCUCUAUGCCUCCUAGUUGCCCCCUAGUAAAAAUCUUUCUUAGGCUGAAAAGCUUACUCAUUUAUCAUCAUACUAACCAAACUUCAGCAUAUAAA
rnacentral:lncRNA from 1 species